rnacentral:misc_RNA from 1 species
AAGUCGUAACAAGGUUUCCGUAGGUGAACCUGCGGAAGGAUCAUUACAGUAUUCUUUUGCCAGCGCUUAACUGCGCGGCGAAAAAACCUUACACACAGUGUCUUUUUUGAUACAGAACUCUUGCUUUGGUUUGGCCUAGAGAUAGGUUGGGCCAGAGGUUUAACAAAACACAAUUUAAUUAUUUUUACAGUUAGUCAAAUUUUGAAUUAAUCUUCAAAA